AAUCACCGAAGUCAAGCAUCAUCGGGCGCUGUCAGUACUUGGGAGGGUGACCACCUGGGAACACCGCGUGCCGUU
rnacentral:rRNA from 1 species